rnacentral:sRNA from 1 species
AUGUGGGCAAGAGGUGAAGCAGGACAGAGAUUGGGGUUGGGGGACAUUCAGAGGCUUGGGCACAAGGAGAGACCUGGACUGGGGCAGGACACUCCUAUCUAUGGGAAGUGGUACAACCUGGCCAUCGGUUCCACCUGCCCCUGGCUGAAGAAGAUCAUGGACAGGAUGACAGUGAGCACCCUGGUGCUGGGAGAGGGUGCUACAGAGGCGGAGAUCAGCAUGACCAGCACUCGUUGGCGGAAAGGUGUCUGUGAGGAGACGUCUGGAGCUUAUGAGAAAACAGAUACUGAUGGGAAGUUUCUCUAUCACAAAUCCAAAUGGAACAUAACCAUGGAGUCCUAUGUGGUCCACACCAACUAUGAUGAGUAUGCCAUUUUCCUGACCAAGAAAUUCAGCCGCCGUCAUGGACCCACCAUUACUGCCAAGCUCUACGGGCGGGCGCCGCAGCUGAGGGAAACCCUCCUGCAGGACUUCAGAGUGGUUGCCCAGGGUGUGGGCAUCCCUGAGGACUCCAUCUUCACCAUGGCUGACCGAGGUGAAUGUGUCCCUGGGGAACAGGAACCAGAGCCCAUCUUAAUCCCGAGAGUCCGGAGGGCUGUGCUACCCCAAGAAGAGGAAGGAUCAGGGGGUGGGCAACUGGUAACUGAAGUCACCAAGAAAGAAGAUUCCUGCCAGCUGGGCUACUCGGCCGGUCCCUGCAUGGGAAUGACCAGCAGGUAUUUCUAUAAUGGCACAUCCAUGGCCUGUGAGACUUUCCAGUAUGGCGGCUGCAUGGGCAACGGUAACAACUUCAUCACAGAAAAGGAGUGUCUGCAGACCUGCCGAACUGUGGGUGAGUGCGGGCCGCCACCCCUGUGCGCUCUGCACCCUCAAGACCCUGUCCCUCAAGUAAACCACCUGCGAAUUGAAAAGGUAGCUAACAGAGGACCUUCCAGUGGUAGAACUCCAGGCGGUUUCCUGAAAUCUUAGGAAUUCCACCUUUGGAUGUGGAGGACCUCGGGCAAAUCAUUUUCUUUCUGUGGACCCCAGUUUCCCCAUCUGUCAAAGAGGGAUGAGGUGUUCUAGAUGAGCAGGGCCCUCUGGCUCAGCAGUCUCAUGUAUGUCUGAUCAGCAGUCACAAGGGUUUCUCAAGUUCCAUGCCUCUCUCCACUCCACAGCGGCCUGCAAUCUCCCCAUAGUCCGGGGCCCCUGCCGAGCCUUCAUCCAGCUCUGGGCAUUUGAUGCUGUCAAGGGGAAGUGCGUCCUCUUCACCUAUGGGGGCUGCCAGGGCAACGGGAACAAGUUCUACUCAGAGAAGGAGUGCAGAGAGUACUGCGGUGUCCCUGGUGAUGGUAGGCAGCCCUGCA